UCAAGAAACUAGAAAAACAAAUGCAAGAAGCCGUCGAAGUGCUUGACUUUGAACUGGCGGCUCAGAUCCGUGAUAUGAUGUUGGAAGUCAAGGCCUUGGAUUAGGGGAAUAGUAUGAUUUAUUUAAGAAAGUUAAAGAGAGAAGAUUUGAUGUCUUUAUGGGAAAUGGCUUAUUCACAACUUAAUCCAGUUUGGAAACAGUAUGAUGCUCCCUAUUAUGAUGAUUAUCAGUAUUUUUCAAAUUUUAAAGAAUUCGAACUACAAAAAUCAGAAUCCAUUUUAAGCAACUCAAAUCGCCUUGGUAUUUUUGUUGAUGAUAAACUAGUUGGGACUGUUUCGCGUUAUUGGGUAUGUAAACAAACAAGAUGGAUGGAAUUGGGAAUUGGUAUUUAUGAUAAAAAAUUCUGGAACACUGGUAUUGGGAAAGUUGCUAUGUUGCAGUGGAUAGAUAGGACGUUUCAGGAUUACUUGGAGUUGGAGCAUCUGGGUUUGACAACUUGGUCAGGGAAUAUUGGUAUGAUGAAACUUGCUGAAAAAUUAAGAAUGAAAAAAGAAGCUCAUAUUCCAAAAGUUCGUUAUUAUCAAGGUAAAUAUUUUGAUAGUAUUAAAUAUGGUAUUUUGAGAGAAGACUGGGAGAAAAUAAAUGACGGUUAUUAUCAAAUCAAUGGAAACUCCUAAAGAGAUAGAAGGUAAAUCCCUUGUUCACUGGCAAACGUGGAGAGAGUCUUAUGAUGACCUUUUGCCUGCGGAAUUUCAGGAUACAAUGACAUUAGAAAGAUGUCGAUUCUUUAGUCAAAAGUAUCCAGAAAAUACAUUGAUUGCGAUGGAUGGCGUGAAGGUGGUUGGUUUUAUCAGUUAUGGCAAUUUUCGUGAUGAGACUAUUCAAGCUGGUGAAAUUAUUGCUUUAUAUGUUUUAAAAGACUAUUAUGGAAAAGGUAUCGCACAAAAGUUAAUGAAAGCAGCUUUGACUGCUCUUAAUCAUUUUUCUGAAAUUUUCUUAUGGGUAUUGAAAGAUAACAAGCGCGCCAUUGCUUUCUAUCAAAAAAUGGGUUUUACUUUUGAUGGACAAGAAAAAAUACUUGAACUUGGAAAGCCUAUAAAGGAAAAACGAAUGGUGUUCUAUUCUAAAUAAUUUUAAAAAAGUAAAAGAUAAUAUCUCUGGUAGUAAGUCUGAAAAUUUAAUAAAUUAGAAAGCGAGUAAAUUUAUGUCCCGUUCCCAAUUAACAAUUUUAACAAAUAUCUGUCUGAUUGAAGACCUCGAAACUCAGCGCGUGGUGAUGCAGUAUCGCGCCCCUGAAAACAAUCGCUGGUCUGGUUAUGCCUUUCCUGGAGGUCAUGUAGAAAAUGAUGAGGCUUUUGCGGAGUCUGUCAUUCGUGAAAUCUACGAAGAAACAGGGUUGACUAUCCAAAAUCCUCAACUUGUCGGCAUUAAAAAUUGGCCACUAGAUACAGGUGGGCGCUAUAUUGUCAUUUGUUAUAAGGCGACUGAGUUCUCUGGUACCCUUCAAUCUUCAGAAGAGGGAGAAGUUUCUUGGGUGCAAAAAGACCAGAUUCCAAACUUAAAUCUGGCCUAUGAUAUGCUACCAUUGAUGGAAAUGAUGGAAGCUCCCGACAAGUCAGAGUUUUUCUAUCCUCGCCGUACAGAAGACGAUUGGGAAAAGAAAAUCUUCUAGUCUUUUACUAAAUAACCUAGCUGAUCCAAGGCCUCCUCGAUAUAGUGGAGGUCUUGUUGUGUUUCGGCUUCGACUAGGUGGUAAUGGAUGCCAUCUGUCAAUUCAGAUAGAGGUCUAAAGUCAGAAUGCUCGACUUGUUCUAGAAAAUGUUGCACAUCUCUGCGACAAGACAGUUUAAGCAAGGUUUCAAUUUCUCCAUAAACGGGAUGGUCAAUCAAGGUAUUCUGGACAUGCCCACCAUUAUCGACAAUAGCAAGGAGUUCCUGACCGAUUUCUUCAACUUCAUGUUUCACUUUGAAAAGUUUGUGAACAUAAGGAUUGGUAUCAAUUUGCUUAUAGAUGUAGCCACGAUUGGUGGAUAGGAUAGGAGCGCCAUCGGCUCUCAAAAUUGCAAUGUCCUGCACAAUGACCUGACGUGUGACAUGAAAAUGUUCCGCCAAACUUUGGCCAUUAAGGGCUUUAGGAGCUUCUUUCAAGAGUUGGAGCAGGGCUUGUUUGCGAUCUUUUGUCAUAGCUUUUCCUUUUAACGGCGUUUUCGAAGCACUUUAUAGACAGCUAGUGCUAAUGUAUAGUCUACCAUACUAUGGAUAAUUGUGCCAAAUCCAACUAGUACAAAUAGAACAUAGAACAUAUUUUCUACAUUGGUACCCGAAGUUGCGUAAAAAAGGACACAGGCUAAUACUUCAGCAAGGGCAUGAACAACAGCCAAAACAAAAUUGAAAACCCAGGAAGAUUUUGGUUUAUCUAGGGUAUCGGGGAAUUUUUGUAGGUAAAGAGCUCCUAAAGCACCAAAAGAUAUAUGGGAAAAAGCCCGAAAAACGAUAACCAUGGGAUAGCCAGCCAUCAAAAAUCCAAAACUAGAGGCUAGGAUGACAAAAACUGCCAUCAAGGGCGACAAGAACAUGGCUAUAAAAAUAGCGAUGUGGCUCCCCAAAGUAUAGGAAGCAGGUGGAAUGACAAUCUUGAAAGGCAUAACAAUUGGAAUCAAAAUCGCAAUAGCCGUUAAAAGGGCUGUCAUUGUCAUAAAUUGUGUCUUUUUCCGUGUAUUCACAAGAAUCUCCUUUUUAACUGCAUAUACACUAGUAUGGUACAAUAAACCAGACAAUAAAGCAAGAAUUUACUUGGGUUUAUAGAUCAUUUUUUAGUUAAAAGUUAUAGUAGAUUGAAACUAGAAUAGUCCACCUCUACUUCUAAAACAUUGUUAGAAAUCGAUUUGACUGUCCUGAUCGAUUUGUCCUGUUCUUAUUUCGUUUUACUAUAGUAAAGAUUUCAUUAAAAAGAAACUGUAUAGAGCAAAAUCUCCACCUUCAGGUUUGAAAGCGGAGAUUGUUUUUAUUUUUUCAAGGUUUGUAGUCGUGGAACAAUGGCUAGGGUUAGAAUUGCAGAAAUGACCAAUUCAGCAAUUGAAUUUGUUGAGAUAACGGUUGCCAGAAGAAGUUGGAUAUUUCCAUUAUAAACAUUUCCAAAUAGGAAGAAGAUUCCUCCAAGGACAAAGAUAGUAUUUGUCAAGGAACCAAGAGCCCCAGCUAAAAUCAGACCAGUCUUGUUUUUCAUCAGUUUAUAGACUAAGUAAGGAGUUAAACCAAUCAAAAUACGUGGGACAAUGGCAAUGAUAGNAGUAGGCUAACUAAAGCAGACGAUUGGAAGAGUCUGUCUAAGCAGUGAGGUGUGAAUUGAGUCAAAUGCUUAAUUCUAUAACAUUGAGCUGUGAUGGGGAGCGAAGUUUAGUAGCGAAGUUAGUGACGUCACACUGCCAAGAAAAGCUUCUAGCGUUUAAACAUACUCUACCCGUACCGCAAACCGACACAGGUAGUCGAGGCGAGUAGCCUCAGGUGAGCGAGAGAACUCUCGUUAAGGAACUCGGCAAAAUGACCCCGUAACUUCGGGAGAAGGGGUGCUGACUUAAAGUCAGCCGCAGUGAAUAGGCCCAAGCAACUGUUUAUCAAAAACACAGCUCUCUGCUAAAUCGUAAGAUGAUGUAUAGGGGGUGACGCCUGCCCGGUGCUGGAAGGUUAAGAGGAGUGCUUAGCGUAAGCGAAGGUAUGAAUUGAAGCCCCAGUAAACGGCGGCCGUAACUAUAACGGUCCUAAGGUAGCGAAAUUCCUUGUCGGGUAAGUUCCGACCCGCACGAAAGGCGUAAUGAUUUGGGCACUGUCUCAACGAGAGACUCGGUGAAAUUUUAGUACCUGUGAAGAUGCAGGUUACCCGCGACAGGACGGAAAGACCCCAUGGAGCUUUACUGCAGUUUGAUAUUGAGUGUCUGUACCACAUGUACAGGAUAGGUAGGAGUCUACGAGAUCGGGACGCCAGUUUCGAAGGAGACGCUGUUGGGAUACUACCCUUGUGUUAUGGCCACUCUAACCCAGAUAGGUGAUCCCUAUCGGAGACAGUGUCUGACGGGCAGUUUGACUGGGGCGGUCGCCUCCUAAAAGGUAACGGAGGCGCCCAAAGGUUCCCUCAGAAUGGUUGGAAAUCAUUCGCAGAGUGUAAAGGUAUAAGGGAGCUUGACUGCGAGAGCUACAACUCGAGCAGGGACGAAAGUCGGGCUUAGUGAUCCGGUGGUUCCGUAUGGAAGGGCCAUCGCUCAACGGAUAAAAGCUACCCUGGGGAUAACAGGCUUAUCUCCCCCAAGAGUUCACAUCGACGGGGAGGUUUGGCACCUCGAUGUCGGCUCGUCGCAUCCUGGGGCUGUAGUCGGUCCCAAGGGUUGGGCUGUUCGCCCAUUAAAGCGGCACGCGAGCUGGGUUCAGAACGUCGUGAGACAGUUCGGUCCCUAUCCGUCGCGGGCGUAGGAAAUUUGAGAGGAUCUGCUCCUAGUACGAGAGGACCAGAGUGGACUUACCGCUGGUGUACCAGUUGUCUUGCCAAAGGCAUCGCUGGGUAGCUAUGUAGGGAAGGGAUAAACGCUGAAAGCAUCUAAGUGUGAAACCCACCUCAAGAUGAGAUUUCCCAUGAUUAUAUAUCAGUAAGAGCCCUGAGAGAUGAUCAGGUAGAUAGGUUAGAAGUGGAAGUGUGGCGACACAUGUAGCGGACUAAUACUAAUAGCUCGAGGACUUAUCCAA
rnacentral:rRNA from 1 species